AUUGAACGCUGGCGGCAGGCCUAACACAUGCAAGUCGAACGAGUGGCGGACGGGUGAGUAAUGUCUGGGAAACUUCCCGAUGGAGGGGGAUAACUACUUGAAACGGUAGCUAAUACCUCAUACCAUCGGAUGUGCCCAGAUGGGAUUGGCUAGUAGGUGGGGUAACGGCUCACCUAGGCGACGAUACCUAGCUAGUCUGAGAGGAUGACCAGCCACACUGGAACUGAGACACGGGCCAGACUCCUACGGGAGGCAGCAGUGGGGAAUAUUGCACAAUGGGCGCAAGCCUGAUGCAGCCAUGCCGCGUGUAUGAAGAAGGCCUUCGGGUUGUAAAGUACUUUCAGCGGGGAGGCGUUACUCGCAGAAGAAGCACCGGCUAACUCCGUGCCAGCAGCCGCGGUAAUUC
rnacentral:rRNA from 1 species